rnacentral:rRNA from 1 species
AUUGAACGCUGGCGGCAUGCUUUACACAUGCAAGUCGGACGGCAGCACAGAGAAGCUUGCUUCUUGGGUGGCGAGUGGCGAACGGGUGAGUAAUAUAUCGGAACGUACCGAGCAGUGGGGGAUAACUAAUCGAAAGAUUAGCUAAUACCGCAUAUAUUCUGAGGAAGAAAGCAGGGGACCAUUUGGCCUUGAGCUGUUUGAGCGGCCGAUAUCUGACUAGCUAGUUGGUGGGGUAAAGGCCUACCAAGGCGACGAUCAGUAGCGGGUCUGAGAGGAUGAUCCGCCACACUGGGACUGAGACACGGCCCAGACUCCUACGGGAGGCAGCAGUGGGGAAUUUUGGACAAUGGGCGCAAGCCUGAUCCAGCCAU